rnacentral:rRNA from 1 species
UACGAAGGUGGCAAGCGUUGUUCGGAUUUACUGGGCGUAAAGGGAGCGUAGGUGGUUAGGUAAGCCCUCCGGGAAAUCUUCAGGCUUAACCUGAAAAGGUCGGGGGGGACUGCCUGGCUAGAGGACGGGAGAGGAGCGCGGAAUUCCCGGUGUAGCGGUGAAAUGCGUAGAGAUCGGGAGGAAGGCCGGUGGCGAAGGCGGCGCCCUGGAACGUUUCUGACACUGAGGCUCGAAAGCGUGGGGAGCAAACAGG